GGACCCGUGGUGUAGCGGUUAGCAUGCGGCCCUGUCAAGGCCGAGGUCGCGAGUUCAAAUCUCGUCGGGUCCG
rnacentral:tRNA from 1 species